UACGUAGGGGGCAAGCGUUGUCCGGAUUUAUUGGGCGUAAAGAGCGUGUAGGCGGCCAGGUAGGUCAGCUGUGAAAACUCGAGGCUCAACCUCGAGACGCCGGUUGAAACCAUCUGGCUAGAGUCCGGAAGAGGAGAGUGGAAUUCCUGGUGUAGCGGUGAAAUGCGCAGAUAUCAGGAAGAACACCCGUGGCUAAGGCGGCUCUCUGGGACGGUACUGACGCUGAGGCACGAAAGCGUGGGGAGCAAACAGG
rnacentral:rRNA from 1 species